AUUCUCUUCAACAUCAAGGCAAAAAAGCAAAAUUUUUUGGAUUCAGAUCUGGAAUUCACUGGAAACCCAUAAUUUAUUUAAGUUUUUACGACGACCCAUCUGAAAAUCUUGCUGAAUUUUGAGUUAUGGCUGUUGAAAUUGUUGAUUCGGAUGAAAACCCGAUUAAGAUCCGGGAAGUUUGGUCGGAUAAUCUGGAAUCGGAGUUUGAGCUUAUACGAAGAGUAAUUGAUCACUACCCAUUCAUCUCAAUGGAUACAGAGUUUCCGGGAGUCAUUUUUAAGCCGGAGGUUGUUUCAUCCCGGAAAAAUCGCCGGCGAUAUGUGCCGCUGUUACCAUCGGAGCAUUACAAGAUGUUAAAAUCAAACGUCGACGUUCUGAACAUAAUUCAAGUAGGACUUACAUUGUCCGACUCCGACGGGAACUUACCGAAUCUGGGUACCGCCGGUGUGAAUCGAUACAUCUGGCAGUUCAACUUCUCCGAUUUCGACGUGGAGCGUGAUAGACACGCGCCGGACUCAAUCGAGCUACUCCGGCGUCACGGCAUCGAUUUCGAGAAGAACAAGGUGAACGGAAUCGACUCUUAUCGCUUCGCCGAGCUGAUGAUGUCGUCGGGGCUUGUAUGCAACGAAACCGUAAGCUGGGUUACGUUCCACAGCGCUUACGAUUUCGCAUACCUCUUAAAAAUCCUCACCCGCCGGGAACUUCCCGGCGAGUUAGAUGAUUUUCUGGAGAUUUUCAGGGUGUUCUUCGGUGACAAUGUUUAUGAUGUGAAGCAUUUGAUGAGGUUUUGUGAGAAACUUUACGGCGGUUUAGACCGGAUUGCGGCGGUUUUAGAGGUGAACCGGGCGGUCGGAAAGUGUCAUCAGGCCGGUUCAGAUAGUUUAUUGACUUGGCACGCAUUUCAAAAAAUGAGAGACGUGUAUUUUGUAAAUGACGGACCGGAGAAAUACGCCGGCGUUUUGUUUGGAUUAGAAGUGUAUUAAUUAGGAAUUAGUGUAUACUAAUUUUUUUUUAAAAUGUUAGUUAAAUAAAAUUUGUUUGAUUAAAUUUACUAAAUUGUGAUAUCUAAUAUUUUGAUAAUCUUAAGAUUUAAA
rnacentral:misc_RNA from 1 species